CAGAGCGUAGCUAAGUAGUCUAGCAUCUCCCUUACACCGAGAAGACACCCGUGCAAACCGGGUCGCGCUGA
rnacentral:tRNA from 1 species